GGAUAAGACGCUGCCUCGUGUCUAUACAAGGUUUCUCGUAAUGGCUCAGGUUCAACGGGUUUGGUGUAAUCCGAAGACACGACCGGAAAAGCUUUUGUCCCUGGUGGAACGAUCUCCUCAGGUGCCGGAACACUAGCUUCUCCGGGAUGACUCAGUGACUCAGGCAAGGGACAAACCUGGCGCGCCGUGCAAUUGUGGGUCUUGCUCGUCAUUAUCAUCAUCUUCUAUUUCGACAUCAUGAUUGUGCUCAUGACCCUGACCAUGUUUGAAGCAUGAGGAGGGUUUAAUAGAGACAGGAGAAAGAGCGAUGACAUGUGGCCGAACCAUCUCCCUUUGGCUUGUAACUCUCUACUUCUGUAGGAUACUGACACGUUCGAUGUGUCCGUUUGGUCCUGCCACGUCUCAGAGCUUUGUUUUAUACGUGGCUAUGUUGCCAAAUAAAUCAUGAGUUAUUCUUGGGUUCACCCCUAGGUUUAGGUUCACCAACCAAUAGAAAAUUGUCAUUUUAAAUCUAGUAUCUUUUAAUUAAGGAAACCAAAUAACUUUCAAAUUAUAUUAUUUUUUCAAAAUAAAAUUUAAAAAUAAAUAAAAAUAAUAUAUAAAAAACGAAUUCAA